rfam:Schistosoma haematobium scaffold758_8, whole genome shotgun sequence.
GCAUUGCUGAAGAGUCCCAUAAUAGGGUGAAACGACCGUCAAAUAU